rnacentral:rRNA from 1 species
GACGUAGGGGGCCAGCGUUGUUCGGAAUUACUGGGCGUAAAGGGCUCGUAGGCGGUGUGGCAAGUCGGGUGUGAAAUCUCUGGGCUCAACUCAGAGACUGCUUCCGAAACUGCUGUGCUGGAGUGUGGGAGAGGCGCGUGGAAUUGCAGGUGUAGCGGUGAAAUGCGUAGAUAUCUGCAGGAACACCCGUGGCGAAAGCGGCGCGCUGGACCACUACUGACGCUGAGGAACGAAAGCUAGGGGAGCAAACAGG